UACGUAGGGGGCAAGCGUUGUCCGGAUUUAUUGGGCGUAAAGGGCUCGUAGGCGGUUUGUCGCGUCGGGAGUGAAAACACCGGGCUUAACUCGGUGCUUGCUUUCGAUACGGGCAGACUGGAGGUAUGCAGGGGAGAACGGAAUUCCUGGUGUAGCGGUGAAAUGCGCAGAUAUCAGGAGGAACACCCGUGGCGAAGGCGGCUCUCUGGGACGGUACUGACGCUGAGACGCGAAAGCGUGGGGAGCGAACAGG
rnacentral:rRNA from 1 species